CCUACGGGAGGCUGCAGUGAGGAAUAUUGGUCAAUGGGCGCGAGCCUGAACCAGCCAAGUAGCGUGAAGGAUGACUGCCCUACGGGUUGUAAACUUCUUUUAUAAAGGAAUAAAGUGAGGCAAGUGUGCCUUUUUGUAUGUACUUUAUGAAUAAGGAUCGGCUAACUCCGUGCCAGCAGCCGCGGUAAUCCGGAGGAUCCGAGCGUUAUCCGGAUUUAUUGGGUUUAAAGGGAGCGUAGAUGGGUUGUUAAGUCAGUUGUGAAAGUUUGCGGCUCAACCAUAAAAUUGCAAUUGAUACUGGCAGCCUUGAGUACAGUUGAGGUAGGCGGAAUUCGUGGUGUAGCGGUGAAAUGCUUAGAUAUCGCGAAGAACACCGAUUGCGAAGGCAGCCUACUAAACAGCAACUGACAUUGAUGCUCGAAGGUGUGGGUAUCAAACAGGAUUAGAUACCCCAGUAGUC
rnacentral:rRNA from 1 species